GGGAUUUGUUUUUCAAUAUAAUGUAUAGGUUGGUACUCACCGUAGACACCGUGAAGUUGGGUUUACCAUUAAAAACUCAGCUCUCGGCGACGACACUGUUACACAACCGUCAGUUUUAUAGGAAAGAAAACGGAAAAAACGAACUUUGAAACUUUGAAAAAAAAAUUUGUGUCCAAAAAUACGCGCACGCACACGAAAACGCGAUGCUGACAGUUAUAUCCGAUGACGAAGAUUGCAGAAACGUAUUAGAAACCGUGGUCCGCCAUAUUGAAACUUAAGCAUAUACCGGUCUGAAAACAUUCAGCCCAAUAGAAAACGAGAUGAUCGUUAUUAUACCAUGGUUGUGGGCCCUGAUCCACCCACCACCAGUGUGACCGAUUACGGACCGCGACAGGGUUUUUUUUCUCCGGCCGAUUUACACUUGUGGCAGACUGGUAGGUACGCUAAAUCCACGACGGGCCCGAUCUACACACUCGCGUACAAUUCGAGCCGUCACGGGUCCGUGUUCGCCCCGUCAUUUUAUUGUGUCUGCCAAUGAUGAUUCUCGCUACGAAACACCGGUUGUUGACG